rnacentral:rRNA from 1 species
GUUCGUAGUGAACUGCGGAGGAUCAUUACCAGAGAGGAGCCCGAGCCCCUUGGGGCUCGGCCCCGCGGGCUCCGUCCCGUUUCUUCCCCCCGUGUCUACCCACCCGUGUUGCUUUGGCGGGCCCGGGGCGUCUGCCCUUCCCCACGGCUCGGCCGGUGGCCUCGCGCUCGCGCGGGAGGACGCCGCCGCCGGGGGGGUUCGUGCCCGUCCAUCGCCCUUACCCAACCCUGUUUAUCAGUGUCGUCCGAGUCCAUAAGAACAAUCGUAAAAACUUUCAACAACGGAUCUCUUGGUUCUGGCAUCGAUGAAGAACGCAGCGAAAUGCGAUAAGUAAUGUGAAUUGCAGAAUUCAGUGAAUCAUCGAAUCUUUGAACGCACAUUGCGCCCCUCGGAAUUCCGGGGGGCAUGCCUGUUCGAGCGUCAUUGCACCCCUCAAGCCCCGGCUUGGUGUUGGGCCUUCGCCCCCCGGGCGGCCCCGAAAAUCAGUGGCGGUCCGGAGCGACUUUAAGCGCAGUAGUUCAUCGCCCGCUUUGAAAGUGCGCCCCGCGGCUUGCGAUCGUCCCCCGACCUUUCAAUGAUUGACCUCGGAUCAGGUAGGGA